CCGAGUUAUACAACUCAUCAACCCUGUGAACAUACCUAAAACGUUGCUUCGGCGGGAACAGACGGCCCUGUAACAACGGGCCGCUCCCGCCAGAGGACCCCUAACUCUGUUUUUAUAAUGUUUUUCUGAGUAAACAAGCAAAUAAAUUA
rnacentral:misc_RNA from 1 species